rnacentral:rRNA from 1 species
UACAGGGGGUGCAAACGUUGCUCGGAAUUACUGGGCGUAAAGCGCACGUAGGCGGAUUGUUAAGUCAGGGGUGAAAUCCUGGAGCUCAACUCCAGAACUGCCUUUGAUACUGAGAAGCUUGAGUCCGGGAGAGGUGAGUGGAACUGCGAGUGUAGAGGUGAAAUUCGUAGAUAUUCGCAAGAACACCAGUGGCGAAGGCGGCUCACUGGCCCGGUACUGACGCUGAGGUGCGAAAGCGUGGGGAGCAAACAGG